rnacentral:SRP_RNA from 1 species
GCUGGGUGUGGUAAAGCACACCUGUAAUCCCAGCAAUUCAGGAGGCUGAGGUGGGAGGAUCACUUGAGUCUAGGAGUUCAAGGCUGCAGUGAGCUAUGAUUGUACCACUGCCUCCCAGCCUAGGUGACAGAGUAGGACCCCAUCUCUA